rnacentral:rRNA from 1 species
GAAAGGGCUGCUAAUACCCAAUAAUACUAUAGGUGCAAAAGCACUUGUGGUCAAAUGCUAGGAAUUCUGUUCCUUGUGCUUAAAGAGGGGUUAAUGUCCUAUCAGCUAGUUGGUGGGGUAAUGGCCUACCAAGGCAAAGACGGGUAGCCGGCUUGAGAGGGUGGUCGGCCACACUGGGACUGAGACACUGCCCAGACUCCUACGGGAGGCUGCAGUCGAGAAUCUUUCGCAAUGCCCGAAAGGGUGACGAAGCGACGCCGCGUGUGGGAAGAAGGCCUUCGGGCUGUAAACCACUGUCGGGAGUUAGGAAAUGCAGGUGCGUUAAUAGCGCACUUGCUUGACUAAGGCUCCAGAGGAAGCCACGGCUAACUCUGUGCCAGCAGCCGCGGUAAUACAGAGGCGGCAAGCGUUGUUCGGAAUUAUUGGGCGUAAAGAGCACGUAGGCGGCCUUGCAAGUCAGUUGUGAAAGCCUUCCGCUUAACGGAAGAACGGCAUCUGAUACUACAGGGCUUGAGUACGGGAGGGGAGAGUGGAACUUCUGGUGGAGCGGUGAAAUGCGUAGAUAUCAGAAGGAACACCAGGCGGCGAAAGCGACUCUCUGGUCCGAAACUGACGCUGAGUGGUGCGAAAGCUAGGGGAGCAAACGGGAUUAGAUACCCCGGUAGUCCUAGCCGUAAACGAUGGGCACUAAGUAGAGGGGUUUUGAUUAUUUCUCUGCCGGAGCUAACGCAUUAAGUGCCCCGCCUGGGGAGUACGGCCGCAAGGCUAAAACUCAAAAGAAUUGACGGGGGCUCGCACAAGCGGUGGAGCAUGUGGCUUAAUUCGAUGCAACGCGAAGAACCUUACCGGGGCUUGACAUGGUAGAAGUAGAAUCCUGAAAGGGUNGACNGAUNCGGUAUCCAGUCCGAAGCUAUCACAGGUGUUGCAUGGCUGUCGUCAGCUCGUGUCGUGAGACGUUGGGUUAAGUCCCCUAACGAGCGAAACCCUUGUCUUUAGUUGCUAACGGGUAAUGCUAGAGCACUUUAGAGAGACUGCCGUCGUUAAGACGGAGGAAGGUGGGGACGACGUCAAGUCAUCAUGGCCCUUAUGUCCCGGGCUGCACACGUGCUACAAUGGUCGGUACAAAGGGAUGCUAAGUCGCGAGAUGGUGCGAAACCUAUAAAGCCGAUCUCAGUUCAGAUUGGAGGCUGAAACUCGCCUCCAUGAAGUUGGAAUCGCUAGUAAUCGCGGAUCACCUACGCCGCGGUGAAUAUGUUCCCGAGCCUUGUACACACCGCCCGUCAAGCCACCCAAGCAAGAUGCACCCAAAAUCGCCUGCCUAACCCGUAAGGGAGGGAAGUGCCUAAGGUGUGUUUUGUGAGGAGGACUAAGUCGUAACAAGGUAACC